UGGGGGUGGAGGGACUUGAACCCUCACGAUUUUGCAAUCAAUGGAUUUUAAGUCCAUUGCGUCUACCAUUCCGCCACACCCCC
rnacentral:tRNA from 1 species